CAAAUAUGAACAGCUUACCGAGCAGGCCAGCCCGUAUGUCAGCGAGCUCCUCGUUAGUACACAAGCAACGCUACAACGCUGAAUCUGACAGCCGCAGUGCAUUCUGACUGUCACACAUUUACCUCCUCGACUGUCUCAAUGUUUUAAAUCUACACGGAAAAUCAUUUAGAAGAAGAAGCAGAGCUGUGUUUCCAACAUAUUAUAACAUGCUCUCACACACACUCGUGCUACAAGUCUUUUAAAGUGCUUUUGGAUGCAUUUUAGUGUGCUUGAGCAGUCUAACAAGGGGAUUUUGAGCCAACCUGUGUCAUGAUAAUGAGAUGGAUCAUUUUAUUUCCACCAAAAGAUAACUGGAAACUGAAGUGCUAUCUCUCAUCACGAGUUACUGAA